UUGAAUUCAGAUUGAAAGAGCUCCUAGGAUUUCGGGUUCAUGGAACUUGGGACUCCCAUUGCAGCCUUGCAAGUGCUGCAGCACAGGUACGUUGAUGGCCUUAUAGCCUUGCAGGGUUUAUCCUGCAGCACUUUAGGCUGUAAGGUUGCCUUGCUAUACUUGGCCGGCUGGAGUUGCAAAUAUGGACUCGCGCGUUUCUAGCAUUAACCACUAAUGGUACUAAUUGAUUAAUGAUUAUCAUGGCAAAUCAAGUUUAAAUUAUUGAGAGCGAGCUCUGUAUGUAGUUCAACUUGUACAUGGUUAUUUCUUACCAAAGAUUUCUUCUUCUUCUUCUGUCACAAUAAGUUGCGUUUCUGAGUUUUUCUAUCCUUUUGAUCUAUAAACACUUAAAUCUUGAGAAAAUUUAACUUACUAAUUUCUUUGAACAAACUUACUCAAAUACAACUGAAUAUUCAAAAUAUAAUCUGACACUAAUCUCAACUUAUAGCCCACAUGGAGAUAAAUAAAAGAAUGAACUGAAAAUAACUAAACGCCCAACCCAUCCAUUCAUAUUAAGCUAAGCUACUGCUCCUACAUUCUUGACUAUAACAUCACUCUCCCCAUCGUCUUCGGACUUGUCCUCAGGCUCAAGGGAUGGAUAAGGGUUGGACAUGACUAAAACAUCUUUCCAAAACGGAAUUUGCUCGUGAAAGUCCCUCCCUACCUCACAAGGAUGAUAAUACUGCAAAGGCUAAACGCCAUGUAGAUGCUUCCCCUGGCUGUUAUGCAAAGGCACAAACUCAUGGCAGAGAAGUCUCAACAGAUGAGGCCAAGAGUUCGUAGCCAAUCAACUGACAACACGCUCCAAAACCACUCAAGGAUAACAGAACUAAAUCCAAAUACCAAAUGCAAAGGAAUUGCACACGACAUAUCCCCUCUCUUCAUUACCUACCUGUACAUGCAAUUCUUCGCUCCUUGCAAUCCGAAGCUACAGCUAGGUACCCUAGUCAAUUACACAAUCAUGGAAUAGCCUCCAGUGUGUCCUUAAACCUGCAAGACGUGGCAGAGGCAUGUGCAAUCUCAUCAUAAGAUGAAUAAAAUUUAAUGGUUCUCCAAUUCUUUAUUGGAUGCCUCACUCUCUUACACUGUUAGAUGCUCCUAAAUUCCUUCUAAUCCGAAUAGCUUUUUAUAUAGAUAGAUAACU
rnacentral:misc_RNA from 1 species